GGCCGUCAGCCAUGAAGCCCGACAGCGUGGAGAGCAACCAGCCCCCGAGGAACGGCAGAGCGGACAGGAGGGCAUUCUGAGGACAGAGACACAGUUCCAGACGUUUGAUGAAUGAAGCUGGUUUUUAAGAGACCAUAAAGGUAGAACACAGAGGGCCAGCCCAGCGUUUGGCAGAUCAAGCCCGUGAGCGGCAGAGCCACAAAGGCGCCGAAGCUUGCUCCGGAUCCCGACAUGGUCAUCAGGCGGGAGCGCUCCAGUGGGGGGGCCCAGCGAGCCCACAUCGCCAUCAUGGCCGGGAACGUGACACCCUGAGGAAAAGAGUGAGACCGACUGAAUCCUCUCACCUCUCCAAAGCCCUCCAGCGCUCGCAGUGCAAACAUCCAGGUCACACCCAGCUGAGCGGCCAUGGGGGUGAGGAGGGUGAGGGCAGCCGUGCCCAGCACACCCAAACCCAGGAAGACCUUCCCCCCGUAGAGACCGGCCAGGUAACCCCCCGGGAUCUGCGUGCACAGGUAGCCGAAGAAGAAGGCCCCCAGGAGCCAGCCCUGAGUCUCUGAGUCCCAGGGAUACUGAGGGACCUGGGACAAGAGGACAGAGAGAUGUGGGUCACCUUCAUUUAUCUACAAACACUCUAUGAUACUUCACGAUGGGAGUUUUUUUUACCCCCUCUGGUUGUGGGAACGUGUCGCUGGCGUUUUCCAUCCCAGCCGGCAUCGGACACGCGUGCACGAUGGAGGUGUUCGGGGCCGGCGUGGGCUCGGUGGUGUUCACCAUCACCACCAUGGCCACACUGAGGUUGACGCGGAGGCCGUAGACCACGGAGAACCCGAAGAACAUGAGCACGGCGAGGUUGAGGCGAGCGGAGCAGCACUGAGGAGGAACUGCUGACACACAGAACAGUGAGGUCAGCAUCGAGAACAGCACAUCAGCCAUCAUGGUCAUUUUCUAUUUAUCACAUUAAUGCAGGAAUAAGCUUUGGACGGGGUUGAAACAUUUAUAAUUUUUGGAUGAUUUCAGGGAUGGAAGUGUCAUCAUAUUAUUAAGAAGCUGGAAAUCGGGACCUUUGAUGCAGGUCACAAGUCAUAUUUAUAUUUCAUUAUUUCCCUUUUCUACGGAGACACAGUUUCAAUAUCAUGUGACUUGAGUCAAACUGCCUCUUCACAAAGAUCUUAUAUAACUGACAAAGUGCUGAUGUGAGUGUGACCAUGACACAACUAAAAAGAAUCUGCUGAGGAACCAGAGACAGUUCAACAAGACGUUUGCACCAUUAGAAAAUAAUGACGGAAAUAUCCAGAUGUUGAGAGGUUUAUUUUACUGCUGAGCUUGAAUGCAUCAUCACGGCAAACUGAAUAUUUUUAGCUUUUGAUCUCAUUUGACAAAUUAAGCCAUUUUCCAACAUCACAAAGUUUCUUGCAGCCCUUUGAUCUAAAUACAACUGAAAUGACUUGGAACUGGUCCUGAGAGUCGUGUCGAGAGGAAAGUCCAAACUCCUCAUUGAAUGAAAAUGUCCUGAUAAGAGCAGAAACAAACCUGCGUCUGUCUCGAUGAGCGGCUCCACGUCCUCCACGUCCUCGCUCUCGUCCGAAGACGCUGCGUUGAUGGAGAAGCCAUUUGAUCGCGGCAUGGCUGUCGACUGGCCCAGCUAAACACUACAAUACUUGAAAAUGAUGUCAGUAAAUCAUGGCGUCCAGGAGAUCUGCUGAAGAGAUGGAGAUCAGAUGUCAGAGCAACACAGACUCACACAGACCCGGACAUAUAAACACUGCAGACACACAAACAAACAGGAUAAGAGAUAAAAACAUGGCAUAAAUGUGAGAUCACAUGAGACACACACACACACACACACACACACACACACACACUGACUUCACUUCAGAGCCUGACACUGGAAGUACACAACACACUGGGGCCGUUGUUGCCUCUGGGAACUUUUCAGGAACUAAGGAAACCGCCCGUGACACACGUCUCUGUUCUGACUCACCACUGUGGCUUUGAGGAGGUUUCUUCAGAAAGAGGAGGUCAGAAAGAAAAAACCUGAAACAAAGUCAGAGCAUCUCUGUUAGUUCAGUGACCUGCACUGACUCUGACUUGGUUUUAAAUAAAGUUUAAAUUGAAUUAUA